rnacentral:rRNA from 1 species
UACGUAGGGUGCGAGCGUUAAUCGGAAUUACUGGGCGUAAAGCGUGCGCAGGCGGUUUCUUAAGUCAGAUGUGAAAUCCCCGGGCUUAACCUGGGAAUGGCAUUUGGGACUGCAAGGCUCGAGUGCGGCAGAGGAGACUGGAAUUCCUGGUGUAGCAGUGAAAUGCGUAGAUAUCAGGAGGAACACCGAUGGCGAAGGCAGGUCUCUGGGCUGACACUGACGCUCAUGCACGAAAGCGUGGGGAGCAAACAGG